UAAGCAUAUCAAUAAGCGGAGGAAAAGAAACCAACAGGGAUUGCCCUAGUAACGGCGAGUGAAGCGGCAACAGCUCAAAUUUGAAAUCUGGCUCUUUCAGAGUCCGAGUUGUAAUUUGCAGAGGGCGCUUUGGCUUUGGCAGCGGUCCAAGUUCCUUGGAACAGGACGUCACAGAGGGUGAGAAUCCCGUACGUGGUCGCUAGCUAUUGCCGUGUAAAGCCCCUUCGACGAGUCGAGUUGUUUGGGAAUGCAGCUCUAAAUGGGAGGUAAAUUUCUUCUAAAGCUAAAUACUGGCCAGAGACCGAUAGCGCACAAGUAGAGUGAUCGAAAGAUGAAAAGCACUUUGGAAAGAGAGUCAAACAGCACGUGAAAUUGUUGAAAGGGAAGCGCUUGCAGCCAGACUUGCUUGCAGUUGCUCAUCCGGGCUCUUGCCCGGUGCACUCUUCUGCAGGCAGGCCAGCAUCAGUUUGGGCGGUGGGAUAAAGGUCUCUGUCACGUACCUCUCUUCGGGGAGGCCUUAUAGGGGAGACGACAUACCACCAGCCUGGACUGAGGUCCGCGCAUUCGCUAGGAUGCUGGCGUAAUGGCUGUAAGCGGCCCGUCUUGAAACACGGACCAAGGAGUCUAACAUCUAUGCGAGUGUUUGGGUGUCAAGCCCGAACGCGUAAUGAAAGUGAACGGAGGUGGGAACCCGCAAGGGUGCACCAUCGACCGAUCCUGAUGUCUUCGGAAGGAUUUGAGUAAGAGCAUGGCUGUUGGGACCCGAAAGAUGGUGAACUAUGCUUGAAUAGGGUGAAGCCAGAGGAAACUCUGGUGGAGGCUCGCAGCGGUUCUGACGUGCAAAUCGAUCGUCAAAUUUGGGCAUAGGGGCGAAAGACUAAUCGAACUAUCUAGUAGCUGGUUCCUGCCGAAGU
rnacentral:rRNA from 1 species